rnacentral:rRNA from 1 species
UGAACGCUGGCGGCAGGCCUAACACAUGCAAGUCGAGCGGUAGAGAGAAGCUUGCUUCUCUUGAGAGCGGCGGACGGGUGAGUAAUGCCUAGGAAUCUGCCUGGUAGUGGGGGAUAACGUUCGGAAACGGACGCUAAUACCGCAUACGUCCUACGGGAGAAAGCAGGGGACCUUCGGGCCUUGCGCUAUCAGAUGAGCCUAGGUCGGAUUAGCUAGUUGGUGAGGUAAUGGCUCACCAAGGCGACGAUCCGUAACUGGUCUGAGAGGAUGAUCAGCCACACUGGGACUGAGACACGGCCCAGACUCCUACGGGAGGCAGCAGUGGGGAAUAUUGCACAAUGGGCGAAAGCCUGAUCCAGCCAUGCCGCGUGUGUGAAGAAGGUCUUCGGAUUGUAAAGCACUUUAAGUUGGGAGGAAGGGCAGUUACCUAAUACGUAAUUGUUUUGACGUUACCGACAGAAUAAGCACCGGCUAACUCU